rnacentral:rRNA from 1 species
ACGGAAGGCAGCAGUGGGGAAUAUUGGGCAAUGGGCGUAAGCCUGACCCAGCAACGCCGCGUGAAGGAAGAAGGUCUUCGGAUUGUAAACUUUUGUUGUCAGCGAAGAAAAAGGACAGUAACUGACGAGGAAGCCCCGGCUAACUACGUGCCAGCAGCCGCGGUAAUACGUAGGGGGCAAGCGUUGUCCGGAAUCACUGGGCGUAAAGGGCGCGUAGGCGGCAUAUUAAGUCAGAUGUGAAAUCCCCGGGCUUAACUCGGGUGUUGCAUUUGAAACUGAUAAGCUUGAGUGCAGGAGAGGAAAGUGGAAUUCCUAGUGUAGCGGUGAAAUGCGUAGAUAUUAGGAGGAACAUCAGUGGCGAAGGCGACUUUCUGGACUGUAACUGACGCUGAGGCGCGAAAGCGUGGGUAGCAAACAGGAUUAGAUACCCUGGUA